GUUACAGGGGGUAGGGAGAGUGGGGAAGGAAAGAUAUGCAAAAGUUUGUCUUCGCUAUAGGACGGUAACUUUGUGGGCCCAGCCGAGUUCUUCGCUGAGCUUUUGAAUUGAUUCUUGCCCAGCUCCCCUCAGCAGGGAAUCCACAUAAGGAUUUAAUCCGAAGCAGCGGUGAUGGACCCAUACAGGUUAUGGCUGCUCACAAAGCCUCACAUCCUUCGUAGGUGCCUUAGGUUUCCGCAGUGAGCUGAGAGCAGCUGAAUCAUGGUGGGAGGAGGGCGGAGUGAGAAGAAAGCCACUAAAAACUGUCGUAAACAUUUUAGACUACGUUCUGUAACAGCUUGGUAGCUGUAGAAUUUCAUUCCCUCCCCAGUGACUUGCAAAUAUUUUUGUGAUAAUGGGGACACGAAUGUAUGGUUAAGAGAUUUUUAAAAUCAGGAACUCUAUUUUAACAGUUAUGGAGGAUUAAAGAAUGCUGGAUUUGGAAUCAGAUGCUAGGUUCGAAUUCAUACUCUCCCUCAAUAGUAUGUGACCUUGAGCUAGCGUAUUAACCGAUCUGUACCAGAUUCCAUAUAUAUAUAAAAUAGUUUAUAUUACGUAAUACAGAACAUCUUUUGCAACUCUAAAAUCUGUAAAUUGAGAAUUAAACUGAUCAACUAGUUCUGGUCAUGCUUUUAUUUUUGUUCCCAACUAUAAACAUCUUCCACUAAAAUGCCCUUUUUUUGCAACCGUAUGUAAAGCAGGAUAAUGGGUUCUUGAAAACUGCCUUAAUAUUUCCAUUAUAGCUUGGGGCCAUUUGGAAAGGCUUCAAGCAUUAGCCCAAUUUUGGAGCGGCCUGUUCACCAAAAGAUUGGCACCACUUAUGUUGUUUUAUUGUUUUGUGACCCCAGUUCAAGCAGCCUUUUGCUAAGGGGGAAUGCAGUAGUUGCUCAUUGCAUGAAUUGAAAGGAGAGAGCAAAAAUAUUAAUAAGGGUAGUAAUCACAAAGAAAUGAAAGGGAAUAGGGAAUUUAGAGAUUGGUUUAUCUCAGCUUCCUCAAUUUUUAGAUGAGGAAACUGAGGCUCAAAGAGGUUAAAUGACCUUAAGAUCACUUGGGUAAGUGCCUAUUUUUUGCAGAGUCACCAUCCUGAGCAAGGACAUGGGUAAUAUCUAAUAUGAGCAUAAACAACUGAUACAAAUUUAACAUACAAGAGAAUUCCAGAGUGGUUCAAGACAUCUGAAGGAAAGACUUUGCCUAAUGAUGAUCUUGUUUUUUUCAGAGGGCUUUUAGAAAGGAAGAGGACUUUUGAAUGUCAGAAGAGAGAGAAAAAAAAAAACUUCUCCAAGAACAGUUUAAAGUAAUUGCAAAUUGACUGCUAUUUGAUUGGCUCUAAAGAGCCACACGGUAAAAAAAAAAAAAAAAAAAAAAAAAAAAAAAAAAAAAAAAAAAAAAAAAAGUCAGACAGGCCUACAGCAACAAGAGAGACAUCCACCUCUUCUAGGAUAAAAUUUAUAGGUUAUAAUGUGCUAUUGCAGACAGAGCACCGGAUUUGGAAUAAAGAACUGGAUUUGACUCUUGGCUCUGUCAUUUACUACUUAUCUCAUCCCCCUUAUCUAAAAUCCCCCCUCAGCUUUUCUGUGCUUCUGAUUCUCAUUUUUAAAAGAAAAGAUUCCUUGUAGCUUUAAAUCUAAUUCUCUGAUUUUGGUUUCUUGGAUUAUCUUGACUGCUGAAAUUUCAUUUGGAAUGUAGAAAGAUCCUUGAGUAUCCGUGCUGUCAUGACAUUUAAAUCAUCAAAGUUGUAUCAAAGAAACAGGUCUAUUUCUCAUUCAAAUAAAUAUAGUAAGACUGAAAUCAACAUUAUUUGCAUUAUGCACCUUAAUUUUUAGUGAAAUCAGUGAAAAGCUUGGCUUGCCACUUAAUGGUUAACAUUUAUAAAAACAUUUAAAAGGUUUCUAAAUAAUAUGUAUUGUCUUAAAAAAAAAAAAACCCAAGGUAUGAGGUUUUUUGUUUUUAGAAAAUAAGCAUAAUCUGGUUAAGUGAUCUGCCCAGGUAUCUCACAACCAGUAACUGAUAUUCCUGACUCCCAAAUGUAGUGCUCUUGUCCAUUGUACCAUCUUAUCUUAUCUGGAACUUUUUAGGCAUGAGAAAGACAAGGUUGAGUUUGGUCCAUUUCUUGCAAACAAUGCAUAUCAUAAAAGUACUAGAUCUUGGAAAUCCUUAUUGUAUGAAAUAAAUGUAUAUGGUCUGCAAAGUAAACAUUAAUUUUGUAUGACUUGAGUGGAAUAAUUUAGAAUGCCGAUUGUAAAUUAGGUCAUUGAUGUGCUAAUCAAUUAAAUUAUGAAGUAUGCCUUUUUUAAAAAACAUUUUCUGAUUUAAAAAUCAUUAAUUAAAAAAGUGUUUUCCUAGGCAGUAACUAUAAAUUCAGCUAGUAAAUGUAGCAGAAAGAUAGAAUAGCCAAAAUGGCAAAUGACAUGGCAGGUAACAACUUUAGAGAAGUAUAUUUAAAAUAUUCACAUACUAUAUAUAUUCACUGAAACUUGUUGGUCAUAUUGCAUUUUACUGUUAAAGUAGAUGUUUUGUGUCUGUGUUGUUUUAAAGUGCCUUACCAAAUGUUUCAAUCCUCCUUAUAUGUUAGGAUUCUGUCAUUAAUAUUUUUGCUCAUGUUCACAAUAUUGACAGUGAAAAAGGUAAGAUAGCUGCCAUUUUUCGGGGUGGAAUAUAGAAAUUCAAAAGUCUAUAGUUAUAUAAAGUCUUUGGGAUCACUUGUUAGGUAAGUUCCAUAAGACCAGAAAGAUCCUUUAGGAUUUACAAGUAAGUGUAUAUGUGUAAAUCUUUAUAUCUGUCAACAAUUUUUUAAAAGUCUGAGAAAAUAUAGUUUGAAGUUGAGUUCAAAGCAGCUUUCUGGUGCAAGUACAAGUGGUUGAAUAAAAGAAUAAUAAAGUGAUGCUGAUGCAAUAGCAUUUUAUGAUUAAGGCUCUUGAACCCAAUUUGAAAAGACCAGGCACGCAUUUGGGUGCCUUGGAAAAAACAGUCGCAUGAAAGUGUAAAAUUUAUGAUUAUGACUGCAAUAUUAAGAAGAUAAAAAAUUAUUUUUCUGCCAAGUAUAACAAGUCAUCAUCUAAGACAAAAUUGUUCUUCAUAAAUAUGGAAGCAGUGUUAAUCGAUGUCUUUGAGCUUCAUGGUAGGUAGUUAAUUAGCUAUGUGGAAGAAAGAUAAUUUUCAUAACUGAAAAAAAACUAGCAUUUACAUAGCAUUGUAAGGUUGCAAAGUGUUUUCAAAAAAUGUUAUUCAGUUGAUUCUUAUAACACUAUGAGGUGUUAGUAACUCAUUUUAUAGAAGGGAAACUGAAGAGACUGAUUAAGCAUAAGUUACAUGACAAGGAUCCCACAGCAAAUAUUUGAAACGAGACUUAAACUCAAUUCUUCCUGUCUCCCAAGUUCAGCAUUUUUUUGGUUUUGCUAUCUAGGUGCCUUGUCCAGAAGUGAGCUAUGGACAGAGUUCAACAAGAAAAGUUCACUGUCCUAACCUGUAUGGCCAUAAAUAAUGGGAAAUUUGAUAGCUUGUCAUUUGACACCAACAAUGACUGAGUUUUUCCAGGAUUUUUUGAGAUAACUUUUCUUUUAUAGACAGGAUAUAGAAAUUGCCUCUUGCCACAGUAAGUUCUAAAAUGUCAACUCAUAUCAUAUAUUAAUAAACUCAGAAAAAUAAGAUUUUCACAUAAAGUUACUUCAUAGGCAUAUAAACUUUUUACAAAAUAAAGUUUUCAUGUAGUUUUAUUUGCAUUCAUUGAGGCCAUUGGAGUAGCUGACCUCUGGUCCUACUAUAGAUCUGUAAUGAAAGUGCUACAUAAUAGUUUAGAAAUAUAUAUUUAUUUUUAUCUUUUCAUUGAAACAGUACUCAUUUUUGGUUAACGUUAUGAGGCUUAUUGAACUUGAAGGUAAGAUCUUAUAUAGCUCCUCUGGCCUUGCUGUUUACAUAAAUGUACUUCAAUAAGAAAUAUCCCAUUGCAUUUUUCAUUUGAGUACUUCAGUUUGUCCUUUUACUCCAUACUUCUCAGAAUAGAGACAAGAGGUUGCAACAGCAGCAGUUUCUAAGUUUGUACUAAAAAAAAAAUCUGGAAAUUUUAAGAGGACAAGGUGGCAUUCAACCCUUUCCCCAUCAUCUAAAGACAAGUUCAUUUACUCCCAGGGCUUCAACUACCAUGCAGAUGCCUUUCAAACCAUAUCUCCAGUUCAGAGUUCCAGUCAUCUUCAGCUGCCUACAAGACCUCUUUCUUCACCUGAAUGUCCUUUUGGCACCUCAGUUUAAUCAUAUCCAAAGCUAAGCUUAAUUUUUUUUUCUUGUCUUAUAUCUACACUUCCUUCAAAUUGAACUAUUUCUGUUGGUGGCAUCACCAUUCAUUCUGUCCAGAAUGUUUAUAAACUUGGCUCUUAACAUUCAUUCAAAUAGUCGCCAGAUCCUAUUUGAUUCCACAACAGCUCUCAUUUCUGUCCCUCCUUGAAUUUCCCCUUCUCCCACAAUAAUACAAGCUGUCUAGCCUUUUGAAAUAACUUUUGUACCUUAUGUCUCUUCAUUUUCUCUCCCCCCUUCUUCUAACCCAUCCUUUACACCAUUUUCAAGUAAUCUGAUGGACAGUUUUAGUUAUGAUUACUUUUCUUAAAAAUCUCACUGGAUUCCCAUUUCCAACUAGUGAAGUUUUAAAUUUUGAAGUGGUGUUCAAGCCACUAUGCGGUUAUAUGUCCUAAUAUUCGGGUUUCUCAUUUCUUUCCUUUGCACACUUGAAAUAGACACAUUUGACAAGAGUCAAGAUGUGACUUCCCAAACAUACACUGUUUAUACCUGGAAUGCUCUUCCUUCCCUUUUGAAACUGCUUAAAUAGCACUUACUACAUUCUGAUGGUUUGGUAACAAACUUACCUUCAAACAAUGUAACACUAUUUUGUAACCCUACUGUAUCUGUGUCACGAUUUUGUUUUUCUAAUAGUAAAUUCUUGGGCGACAGGGACAGUAUCUUAUCUAAAUUGUGUUACUUCCUUCUCUCCCUUCUCCCCCUCCUCCCUCCCCAAUGUUUUGAGUGUAGUAGACCAUGUUGUAUUAUAUGGCUUACUAAGAGUGUAAGCUCCAUGAGGGCAGGGACUAUAUCUUGUCUAAAUUUUGGAACUUCCACAUUGGCUGGUUUAAUACUUUGCUCACAUUAGGCACUUAAUAAAUGUUUGUAUGAACUGAAUUGUCUACUGAUCUUUUGCAGCAUAUAUUUUCUGCCUUUAUUUUACAGUGAUAAAUUGCUUUAAGGGAUAUAGUUUGUAUGGAAAUUAUUUAAUGUAUCCUUUGUUACUACGUUGUAUGUCACUAAAAAUUUUCUGGGGUGUAGACCUGUAUUUUUAUAGUAGUUUAACGGACAGAAAGACUCAGAAAAGGCUCUGAUAUUUUUAUUUGGUGGUGACAAAAAAGCAUUUGAUUUAGGAUUACAAAAUAUAACCAUAAAAGGACCUUUCCGCUUAUUUAUAAUAUUAAAAUCAUUUUUUAAAAGAAGACCAGAUUGAAGAUUGGGUUAAUUGACCUUCUAGUGGAAGAGAAAAUAACAGGAUUUGCUAGUUUAGAACUUCUCUUUACUAGAUGUUAAGCUUAUCUGAUAAAUAUUGUGCUAAGUACUGUAGGUCCAUAAGGGAAAGUAAGACACGCCCUCCUCUUUGAAUUUACAUUUUCCUAGAAUACAACACAGUCUCAGGUGUCAAUCAGUCCUUUAAUUGAGACUUGUUGAUUUGGGUACUGUCAUCUGACUUGGUGCAUUUCCUGGAGUGAAAGCCUGGUAUCUGCCUCUGCAGCUGACCUUAUAUAUUUGUUAUCCCUACCCUCCAUUCUCCUAGUUAGAUUUUGAUCUUGAGAUAGAAAUGAUUUUGUUUUCUCUUUGUUUUCCCAGUACUUACAGUAUUUAGUAAUAGUAAAUAAUAAAUUAAUUUUUUGGUCAUUAGUUAAUUCUUUGGGGCCCAGAUCGUUCAUUAUAAUUUCACUGCCUUCAGUUGUUUUAUUAUUUCAGCUUACAUUGUUGUAGUAAUUGCUCAUUAUUUUUCUUGUUUUGCUUCAGUUUAUAUUAGUUCUUAUGUAUUCUUCUAUGUCUAUAUUCAUGUUCACUGUUUUACUACAGAAAAGUAUUCCAUUAUAUUUCACAAUUUGUUUUUGCCAUUCCCUAAAUCCAUGGAUUAUCCAAUUUGUUUGAAAAUUUAACAAAUUAUAGCAAUAUAAUUAAUAAAUACUUCUUGAAAACAUUUUAAAUGUUUGAUAUUCUACUUUCUGAUUAGUUCUUGAGUUCUGACUCUUUAAUGAGUGAUUUAGAGCAAUUAAUCCAUCACAGUAGAUAACAUUUUAGAUUUAACCAGGGUUUCCAAAAAAAAAAAAAAAAAAAUUGAGAUGGGUUUGGUUUACAU